AGAGACUAAGAUGAGGCAUGUAGGCUGCAAUAUUAUACAAGAUAUGCAUUACGAAAACUUGGAGAAUUCCAGACAUAUUAAAAUGAAACUAAUUGGUCCAAGUUAACCGCAACAAGUCAAAAAUUCAAAAUGGAAACCAAAUUUUAAUUAUCAACGAGGGAUCAUACUUCCCAGUAAUUGGGACCAACUUCUGCAUAAAUUUUAUAAAUUAAAGGAGCAACUUUACCAACUACAGUUCUCCAAAUACUAAGCAAACUCAAUAUGACAGGAUCUCUACUAAUGUUCAUGGCACUCUAGUAAAUGAGCUAAAAACAGAGUUCUGAGUUUAGAGUAUUUAUAUUCCUUCUAUUACAGCAGCUGUGUAAUUGCUGUCAAAUUGUAAACAAAAAUCAAGAGUCAACCAACAGACAAGAAAAAGGUUGCCCAUUUAAAAUAUCCCAACAGUUUCACCAUUACUGCAUUUCAAGAAACAUGAUUUAUUAUGGCCUUCAUAUCUUUAACCCAUGCUCCUUACUUAACGAAUAAGUUUUAAAUUAUAAGCACUCUCUCCAAUUUAAGCAUGCAGAGGCUCAAUCUAUUGAAUAUAUUGAAGGAUUUUAGAAUUACAGAGCAAUUCACAGCUAAAUCCUAAAUGCCAAUUAGUACUUUUUUUUGUCUACAACUUACAAGCCCUUUACCGAGCUUGGAAGAAUUACUCAACAUACUCCAUAGCUUCACAAUUAUCAAGAAACUUCACAGAUCACUGCAUAUUCUUACAUAAUUGUCUUCAUACAGAAUAGUGUUUUAACAUCAAAGCUUGAAAAUUUAGGCCUAUUGUCAAUAAUUAACAAAGAUGCUAUUCGAAAAAUCAAUGAAUAUAUGCUCAAUCUCAGAAACGCCCAACCAUAUCCCCUCUAGUGAGUGAAUAAUUGUCAUGGAUGAAGACACAAAUAUUUUUGAGCAGAAGAAAAAGAAAAAGAAAAAG
rnacentral:misc_RNA from 1 species